AGCCAGGGCGUAAAGGGAACUAGUUGCCUUUAUCUCUGUGCCUUUAGCAGAGGGCCUGACUAAUACUAGGUUCUCAGAGACUACACACGGGAUGACUGCAGUGCAAUACCUCACAGACCAAAGGCACCUAGCCUUCCCUAGAACGUAGUACCUACACAGUGAAUAUCAAAUAAGUAAUUAUUUAUUAAUAAUAAAAAAAAAUCAAGUCUACAGCCUCAGCAAGUGGAAUUAUAUUCUCCCAGAUAAAACUUCCAGGGUCACAAAGACUGCCCUGAAAAGGCAAUUUUUGACCCUGAUGUCACAGAUUUCAAAACUACGAUGUAGUUUUUAUGUACAACCUUAAAACUGACAGCCAGUGCCACAUCCGCACUUGCGUAAUGUCUCUUUUGAUGAGCUAAACCCAUGUGUAAAACCAAGACAAUGUUAUGCUGAUCUCUCCUUUCAUGGACCAAGAGCAUCUAUACUGCUUUUCUUUCAAAGGGCAUGUGAACUUCAAAGUUACCAUUGGAAAGAGAUCCUACGCACUUGCUUUAAAUGGUUAUAUAGCUUCUAAUUUGAUAAAAACAUAAACAACCACUUCGGUGGUUUUCUGAUUGUAAAGUGCAUUUUCUUAGAGACUGGCAUUCAAGACAGAUUUUGUCUUUUAGGCCCCAAGUUUGCAUUUGAAAAGAAAACAGCGUGUGCCCUAAAACAAGGUCAGUUAAUCUCUACAAUCUUUCUUCCUCCCAAUUACUGUGAAUGAGCAUCUUCUCAGAACUCAAGUGACCGUGACUCUCCUUUCUGCCUACUAAAGACCUGUCUCAGCUUCGCAGAUUUUUCUUUUCGGCUGUACAAUGGAACUUGGAUGCAUUUUAAAUUAACUUUCUCUAGGAAUCAAAGAGUAACCUCUGAGGACCCAAGCUUGUGCAAAGAGGAUGGAGGAAAGUCUCCAAAGUCUGUUCUUACUGAGCUGGCCCAAACACUUAGAAGAAUAUGACCGGAAUCAGCAAUCCCACUUUCUGUGAAAAGUGCAAACACACCUGACCACCUGCACUGGCGUACAGUCCAGCGAUUGGCCAAGGCAAG